AGGACAUUCAUCAAAAGGCAAAAACAUUUAUGCACUUCUACGUCCUGUCUUCAAGAAAUGGGACAACCACCUGAGUGACACUAAAGAUUCCUUUGAGACAAAAGUGCAGGAAAUGAUAGACAAGUACAACGAGAACCAUCGUGGCAGAGAAUUGCUAACGUUCACUGAGUACACUGAAUUUGAAAACGUCAUCCAAAACCAUGUAGCAGCUCUUCAAGAGCCAGCUAUGGAAACACUGAAAGAUGUGCGAGAUAUUAUUCAAAACAAGUUUAAGGAAG